AUCUUGGCGGCGAAAGUGCGGUGGUCCCACCUGACCCCAUGCCGAACUCAGAAGUGAAACGCCGAAACGCCGAUGGUAGUGUGGGGGAUCCCCAUGUGAGAGUAGGUCACCGCCAGGU
rnacentral:rRNA from 1 species